UACGGGGGGGGGAAGCGUUGUUCGGAAUUACUGGGCGUAAAGGGCUCGUAGGCGGCCAACUAAGUCAUACGUGAAAUCCCUCAGCUUAACUGGGGAACUGCGUCGGAUACUGGUUGGCUUGAAUCCGGGAGAGGGAUGCGGAAUUCCAGGUGUAGCGGUGAAAUGCGUAGAUAUCUGGAGGAACACCGGUGGCGAAGGCGGCAUCCUGGACCGGCAUUGACGCUGAGGCGCGAAAGCUAGGGGAGCAAACGGG
rnacentral:rRNA from 1 species